UGCGCCUCCUCGUUGGCCUACAUGUGCAAACGGCCGCAGAGCUGCCCGGAGGGACGGACGUGUACCUCCAAUAGUGUUACUGCUGUAAUGAAGACUUCCGACUGCGACGAUGGCAACUUCCUUUAUGGCGAUGAUUGCUAUCUUUUUGACACGACGCGUAGAAGUUGGGAGGAUGGUGAGAACUUCUGUCUCGCCCGGCGAGGC